rnacentral:rRNA from 1 species
CGUAGGGUGCGAGCGUUAAUCGGAAUUACUGGGCGUAAAGCGUGCGCAGGCGGUUUUGUAAGACAGGCGUGAAAUCCCCGGGCUCAACCUGGGAACUGCGCUUGUGACUGCAAGGCUAGAGUACGGCAGAGGGGGUGGAAUUCCACGUGUAGCAGUGAAAUGCGUAGAGAUGUGGAGGAACACCAAUGGCGAAGGCAGCCCCCUGGGUCGAUACUGACGCUCAUGCACGAAAGCGUGGGUAGCAAACAGGAUUAGAUACCCUGGUAGUCCAACGCCCUAAACGAUGUCAACUAGGUGUUGGGUGGGUAAAACCAUUUAGUACCGGAGCUAACGCGUGAAGUUGACCGCCUGGGGAGUACGGCGCAAGGUUA